GCCACCGGCGAGAGAGCCAGGUGGGCUCUGUAAGCCACACUUGGCUGCCAGGGUCCGUAUGUCUUUUAAAAAGAGAGAGAGAAAGAUUCCAAGAGAGCUCCCGUGUACCUUCCACUAUGUGAGGCCACGCUGAGAAGACGGCCAGUUGUUGAACCAGGAACCUGCUCUCUCCAGACACUGAAUCUGCUUAUUCCUUCUUCUUGGACUUCUCGGCCUUCGGAAGUCUUUCUCUGAGUUGGAGAAUGUGUCUUUGGCCAAUAUUCUUACCUGACCUCUGCCAUUUGUGAGAUGCUCAGCCUCCACUCCGACCUCUCCAUCACCUGUCCCAGUGGCCUGGAGGGAACUUCCAGAUGUGUUCUUUUAUUCUGCAGAGCACUCUGCCAUCCUCCGAGGUCACAUCCAUAAGGCCGUGGCUUUCAUAAUUCUGAAAGCAACCGUCUAGCUGUUUUACUGAGAUAAAAGCCAACACCGGAAGCAGUGAAUGACUGGGGCAAGUCACUUGGACAAACAGUCAGUGUGUGUACACCAGCUGGCCUCCACACCGGACCCCAAGCACGGGAGGAGUGCUGCAGCCGUCAAAGCGAGGUAGCAGCUGGGAGAUGACAGU